AAGUCGUAACGAGGUUCCGUAGGUGAACCUGCGGAAGGAUCAUUACCUUUCUGGCUAUUUAAUAGCUUGUCGGGGGGCUAUAGUCUCUAUAGCCUCUGACUGAAUCCGUGUUUUUUACGUACUACAUGUUUCCUCGGCGGGCUUGCUCGCCGGUUGGACAACCUAAAACUCUUUGCAAUUGCAAUCAGCGUCUGAAUUAUUUAAUAAUUACAA
rnacentral:misc_RNA from 1 species